GAGCUCCUAUCAUUCCAAUGA
rnacentral:miRNA from 2 species